AGCGAACGCUGGCGGCAGGCUUAACACAUGCAAGUCGAGCGGGCGUAGCAAUACGUCAGCGGCAGACGGGUGAGUAACGCGUGGGAACAUACCUUUUGGUUCGGAACAACACAGGGAAACUUGUGCUAAUACCGGAUAAGCCCUUACGGGGAAAGAUUUAUCGCCGAAAGAUUGGCCCGCGUCUGAUUAGCUAGUUGGUGAGGUAACGGCUCACCAAGGCGACGAUCAGUAGCUGGCUGAGAGGAUGAUCAGCCACAUUGGGACUGAGACACGGCCCAAACUCCUACGGGAGGCAGCAGUGGGGAAUAUUGGACAAUGGGCGAAAGCCUGAUCCAGCCAUGCCGCGUGAGUGAUGAAGGCCCUAGGGUUGUAAAGCUCUUUUGUGCGGGAAGGUAAUGACGGUACCGCAAGAAUAAGCCCCGGCUAACUUCGUGCCAGCCGCCGCCGU
rnacentral:rRNA from 1 species